CUACAAUUUUUAAACUCUCACUUACACUAUUAAGUUCAGAUGUACAGUUGUGGAUUCUGACCAGAAUCACUAAUCUUCUCUGUCCUGAAGACUGGGCAGGAGUGAUGUUGAAGUGUAUCAGGGCUAUUAUCCUGUAUCUCUGCCUCUUUCCUAACUCAUCACGGCCUGAAAAGAUGUGGUUUUGGAAGCCAAAAGAGCACAGGUUAGAGUAAUUGGUU
rnacentral:lncRNA from 1 species